UACGUAGGGGGCAAGCGUUGUCCGGAAUUAUUGGGCGUAAAGAGCGUGUAGGCGGUCCGGUAAGUCAGCUGUGAAAGUCAAGGGCUCAACCCUUGAAAGCCGGUUGAUACUGGCGGGCUAGAGUCCGGAAGAGGCGAGUGGAAUUCCCGGUGUAGCGGUGAAAUGCGCAGAUAUCGGGAGGAACACCAAUGGCGAAGGCAGCUCGCUGGGACGGUACUGACGCUGAGACGCGAAAGCGUGGGGAGCAAACAGG
rnacentral:rRNA from 1 species